rnacentral:lncRNA from 1 species
UGGUAUCUCCGACUUUACUAUAAACUCCAAUUCAUCCUUUAGGGCUUUCCUAGCAAUUUUCAUUGGAUCAAGUUUCUCUGACUCAUUCAAAACAUGAGGAAACUCUG